CCAGCCAUAGCUCAGUUGGUAGAGCGGAGGACUGUAGAAUGUUGCGUGGUGAUCCUUAGGUCGCUGGUUCGAAUCCGGCUGGCUGGA
rfam:Loa loa cont3.4242, whole genome shotgun sequence.